AUUCCAGCUCCAAUAGCGUAUAUUAAAGUUGUUGCAGUUAAAAAGCUCGUAGUUGGAUUUCUGACAGGGGGCCGAACACCACUGUAGUGAGUGUUUUGGUACCUGUCAUCCUUCUGUUAACCCUAGCGUCAUUCAUUUGUCGUUGGGCGGACCAGAUACUUUACCUUGAGAAAAUUAGAGUGUUUCAGGCAGGCCUAGCCGGAAUACAUUAGCAUGGAAUAAUGGAAUAGGACUAUAGUCUCGUCGUUGGUUACGUGGCCUGCAGUAAUGAUUAAUAGGAGCAGUUGGGGGUAUUCGUAUUCAAUUGUCAGAGGUGAAAUUCUUGGAUUUAUAGAAGACGAACUACUGCGAAAGCAUUUACCAAGGAUGUUUUCAUUA
rnacentral:rRNA from 1 species